AGAUUGAACGCUGGCGGCAUGCCUUACACAUGCAAGUCGAACGGCAGCACGGGAGCAAUCCUGGUGGCGGAGUGGCGGAACGGGUGAGUAAUACAUCGGAACGUGCCCAGUAGUGGGGGAUAACCCGGCGAAAGCCGGACUAAUACCGCAUACGACCUACGGGUGAAAGCAGGGGAUCGCAAGACCUUGCGCUAUCGGAGCGGCCGAUGUCAGAUUAGCUUGUUGGUGGGUAAAAGCCACCAAGGCGACGAUCUGUAGCUGGUCUGAGAGGACGACCAGCCACACUGGGACUGAGACACGGCCCAGACUCCUACGGGAGGCAGCAGUGGGGAAUUUUGGACAAUGGGCGCAAGCCUGAUCCAGCCAUGCCGCGUGCGGGAGACGGCCCUACGGGUUGUAAACUGCUUUUGCAGGGGAUAAACCUCAGUACGAGUACUGAGCUGAAUGUACUCUGAGAAUAAGGAUCGGCUAACUCCGUGCCAGCAGCCGG
rnacentral:rRNA from 1 species